ACCAGACUCCUACGGGAGGCAGCAGUGGGGAAUAUUGCACAAUGGGGGAAACCCUGAUGCAGCGACGCCGCGUGAGUGAAGAAGUAAUUCGUUAUGUAAAGCUCUAUCAGCAGGGAAGAAAAUGACGGUACCUGAGUAAGAAGCCCCGGCUAACUACGUGCCAGCAGCCGCGGUAAUACGUAGGGGGCAAGCGUUAUCCGGAUUUACUGGGUGUAAAGGGAGCGUAGACGGUUAUGUAAGUCUGGAGUGAAAGCCCGGGGCCCAACCCCGGGACUGCUUUGGAAACUGUGUAACUGGAGUACAGGAGGGGCAGGCGGAAUUCCUGGUGUAGCGGUGAAAUGCGUAGAUAUCAGGAGGAACACCGGCGGCGAAGGCGGCCUGCUGGACUGAAACUGACGUUGAGGCUCGAAAGCGUGGGGAGCAAACAGGAUUAGAUACCCCAGUA
rnacentral:rRNA from 1 species